rnacentral:rRNA from 1 species
UUUUUGAUUAAUAAUUUAAAGUCUAAUCUGCCCACUGAUAAUAUAUUAAAGGGCUGCAGUAUUUUGACUGUACAAAGGUAGCAUAAUCAUUAGUCUCUUAAUUGGUGACUUGUAUGAAAGAUUUGAUGAAAUAUAUACUGUCUCUAAUUAAUUUAUAAAAUUUAAUUUUUUAGUUAAAAAGCUAAAAUAAAUUUAAAAGACGAGAAGACCCUAUAGAGUUUAAUAUUUAUAUAAAUUGAGAUUUUAUAUAAGAAUUAUAAUUUUAAUAAUAUAUAAAUAUUUUGUUGGGGUGACAAAAAAAUUAAAAUAACUUUUUUUAUAUUUUUACAUUUAUAAAUGAAUAAAUGAUCCAUAAUUUAUGAUUAUAAGAAAAAAUUACCUUAGGGAUAACAGCGUAAUUUUUUUUUUUAGUUCAAAUAAGAAAAAAAGUUUGCGACCUCGAUGUUGGAUUAAGAUAAAAUUUAAAUGCAAAAGUUUAAAAUUUUUGAUCUGUUCGAUCAUUAAAAUCUUACA